CCAGGCCCUUCAUACUAGGGGAUCGCAGACACACCCACCAUAUACAGAAAAAGCACACUGAGUGCUCCAGUAUGAGGUGUGUGUGGCAAUCAUGCCGGGAAGAGAGAUGGUGUGACCGCAGCUGAUUAUCAGGAAACUCCCUGUACCCCCCAACUGAGAGCACAGUCAUCCAGCCACCCUUCAAACUUCAACCUAUUCAUCCGUUCCUCCAUAUUCUUUAAACCGAGACUUUGGGAUGGUUCCACUUAGCCAGAGACGGGCCUUGAGAUUCAGUGUGUCACAGAUUUUUGGAGACUCCUGCAGUCUUCUCAUGUGUCCUGAGGGCUGACAGAAAGACAGAGAGACCCUCUUUGUGGAUGUCGUUGCUUCUGUCUCUAUCUUUAUUUCCCUUAUGCACUCGCUCCCUUCUUCUAACUCUCCCUCUCAGUCUCUCUCUCUCUCUGAUGCCAGUGUCUAUCUGGAGAUUAAUUAAAUGCUACCCAGCCAGCCAGCAACACAUCAGCCAUCAUCAGCCUCUCCUUGGCAUCAGCUCCCUGCUACAGCAGGGCUGGAGAG